rnacentral:rRNA from 1 species
UGGGGAAUCUUGGUCAAUGGGCGCAAGCCUGAACCAGCGACGCCGCGUGAGUGAUGAAGGCCCUCGGGUUGUAAAGCUCUGUGGGGCGAGACGAAAGAGCACGUUCGAAUAGGACGUGUGUUGACGGUAUCGCCUUAGCAAGCACCGGCUAACUCUGUGCCAGCAGCCGCGGUAAGACAGAGGGUGCAAACGUUGCUCGGAAUCACUGGGCGUAAAGGGCGUGUAGGCGGGAAGGUAAGUCAGAUGUGAAAUCCCCAGGCUCAACCUGGGAACUGCAUUUGAAACUGCCUUUCUUGAGUGUCGGAGAGGAAAGUGGAAUUCCUGGUGUAGAGGUGAAAUUCGUAGAUAUCAGGAGGAACACCGGUGGCGAAGGCGGCUUUCUGGACGACGACUGACGCUGAGACGCGAAAGCGUGGGGAGCAAACAGGAUUAGAUACCCCCGUAGUCC